GAUGAACGCUGGCGGCGUGCCUAACACAUGCAAGUCGAACGGAGUCCAGCCUUUAAGACCUUCGGGUCAAAGAGGGGAAGACUGAGUGGCGGACGGGUGAGUAACACGUGGGCAACCUGGCUCAUAGAGGGGGAUAACAGAGAGAAAUUUCUGCUAAUACCGCAUAAGCACACACUGCCGCAUGGCAGAGGGUGAAAAGAGAAUCGCUAUGAGAUGGACCCGCGUCUGAUUAGCCAGUUGGCAGGGUAAGAGCCUACCAAAGCGACGUUCAGUAGCCGAUCUGGGGGGAUGCACGGCCACAUUGGGACUGAGACACGGCCCAAACUCCGACGGGAGGGAGCAGUGGGGGAUAUUGCACAAUGGGGGGAACCCUGAUGCAGCGACGCCGGGUGAGUGAAGAAGUAUGUCGGUAUGUAAAGCUCUAUCAGCAGGGAAGAUAAUGACAGUACCUGAAAAAGAAGCCCCGGCUAACUACGUG
rnacentral:rRNA from 1 species